AUUUCGGGUAGCAAUAUUCGUGAUGUUCAGCGGCGCAAGGGUGCGUAACACGUGGGUAAUCUUCCCUGAAGCUUGGGAUAACUCCGAGAAAUCGGAGCUAAUACCAAAUGUGAUGAUUGGAUGGCAUCUUCUGCUCAUCAAAGUUGGGGACCGAAAGGCCUGACACUUUAGGAUUAGCCCGCGGCCUAUCAGCUAGUUGGUGAGGUAACGGCUCACCAAGGCUAAGACGGGUAGCUGGUCUGAGAGGACGACCAGCCACACUGGAACUGAGACACGGUCCAGACACCUACGGGUGGCAGCAGUCGAGAAUUUUUCUCAAUGGGGGAAACCCUGAAGGAGCGACGCCGCGUGGGGGAUGAAUGGCUUCGGCCCGUAAACCCCUGUCAUCUGCGAGCAAUCCCUCUAGUUUAAUACGCUUGAGGUUGAUAGUAGCGGAAGAGGAAGGGACGGCUAACUCUGUGCCAGCAGCCGCGGUAAUACAGAGGUCCCAAGCGUUGUUCGGAUUUACUGGGCGUAAAGGGUGCGUAGGCGGCCAAAAAAGUCUGAUGUGAAAUCUUGGAGCUCAACUCCGAAACUGCAUUGGAUACUGGUUGGCUUGAGGAGUGGAGGGGAGAUUGGAAUUCUCGGUGUAGCAGUGAAAUGCGUAGAUAUCGAGAGGAACACCAGUGGCGAAGGCGAAUCUCUGGACAUUUCCUGACGCUGAGGCACGAAAGCCAAGGGAGCAAACGGGGUUAGAUACCCCGGUAGUCUUGGCUGUAAACGGUGCGCAUUUGCUGUGAGCGGAAUCGACCCCGCUUGUGGCGUAGCUAACGCGAUAAAUGCGCCGCCUGGGGAGUACGGUCGCAAGAUUAAAACUCAAAGAAAUUGACGGGGGCCUGCACAAGCGGUGGAGUAUGUGGCUUAAUUCGAUGCAACGCGAAGAACCUUACCUGGCCUUGACAUGCA
rnacentral:rRNA from 1 species